GAUGAACGCUGGCGGCGUGCCUAAUACAUGCAAGUCGAGCGAACAGACGAGGAGCUUGCUCCUCUGACGUUAGCGGCGGACGGGUGAGUAACACGUGGAUAACCUACCUAUAAGACUGGGAUAACUUCGGGAAACCGGAGCUAAUACCGGAUAAUAUAUUGACCCGCAUGGUUCAAUAGUGAAAGCCGGUUUUGCUGUCACUUAUAGAUGGAUCCGCGCCGCAUUAGCUAGUUGGUAAGGUAACGGCUUACCAAGGCGACGAUGCGUAGCCGACCUGAGAGGGUGAUCGGCCACACUGGAACUGAGACACGGUCCAGACUCCUACGGGAGGCAGCAGUAGGGAAUCUUCCGCAAUGGGCGAAAGCCUGACGGAGCAACGCCGCGUGAGUGAUGAAGGUCUUCGGAUCGUAAAACUCUGUUAUGAGGGAAGAACAAUUGUGUAAGUAACUAUGCACGUCUUGACGGUACCUAAUCAGAAAGCCGCGGCUAACUACGGG
rnacentral:rRNA from 1 species